AGGACCUGACAGAUGAGCUGUGAUGGAUUAAGCUUUGUUCUUUUCUGUCUCCAUUCUUACUCUUGUGAAGGUUGCUUCCUCUUUGGUGUGUACACCAGAAUGUGGCAUUUGUGCUGCAGUUGCUCAGGGAGCAAUACCUGCUGUGGUUGAAAGCAAGUCCCUCAUGUUUUCACCAAAACCAUCUUAAAAUAAUUGAUACUCACCUUCAGCUUAAUUGUUCCUUUAUCUAAAAAGAGAGAGAGAGAGUGUGUUAUUCUUGCCAAGCUCAGGUACUACCCUUUUAGACAUUUGUAGUUGAAUGAAACUCCCACAUCACGGAGCUGCUGACUGCAACACCCCUUCAGUAUGAUUUCACCUGAAGUAAUUUUCUUGCAUUGUGCAAAACUAUCUCCAGGGUGAGCAAGUUGGGCCCAGCACAGUUCUCUAAAUUAAACUAUGUCCACAUUUAUUCACAGCUUUUGUACAAGGUAAACUACAAAGUGCUUUAUGGUUAGAGUACCAUCAAGGCUGAGGUUCCAGCACAGAGCAUCCUGUACUCAUUGAAGUAUUUUGCUGUAAAAAGGACAUGUUCUCUUUUUGGAGUAGGAUAAUUCUCAAAACAAACAGUCACAGAAUUUAUUUUGAUGGCUGGAUACAGCCAUAUCUAAGAUUUCUCUCUAGCACAGGUUGUCCACAUGUGGAAGCAUCACCCCCUUUGAAUUACUCAACAAGUGUCAGCCAGUUUCAAAGACAAGGGGAGGAUGAAACCAGAUACAAUCUGUUCCAAGAAAGGAAAUGGCUUUUAUGUAACUCCCAGUUUUUACACAGAAAAGGCUUAAAACAUGAUGGUUAAAAAGCCUGAUUGCCUGAGCCCUGUCUACACUACAGCUUACACCAGUGUGAGCAGUGGAAGAACAGUGCUACUGGGUUUCAUUUUCCAUAAUGUAAACACAUUCAGUAGUAAGUUGGACAUAAUCAAACACUCUCAGUCCUUACAGGACAGAGAAGAAUCUGCCUUUAAAACACAACCCCACAAAAUAUUAUCCAACUUAUCCAAUUCCUCAAACAUUACCACAUCUUUCAGCAAUACUCAGGCCUGAAGAUGGAGAGGUUGCAUUUCCCACACUCAGCUUAAAACAAAGGUAGGAAAUGAUGAUGAUGAUGGUGGUGUCAUUUUUUUAUCCCUUCCCCAGCUGCCCAGGGUCACUCAUUCAGAUUUCAAAAGAAAGGAUAUUCACCGUAAAACAUUUCAAUAGCAGUUAUCUGGGGUCUCUGCAUGUCUUGAGGUUCCAAAAUUAUUAGUCUUGGAUGUUUGAGAUCACACACAUCUCAAAAUCACAGUAGCACAACCACCUGAGAAGUUUUACUAGAUAAGGAAUUAAUUCAUUUGGUUCCAGUUCCAUUAUCAUCUAAAGCAACUCUCCACGAGACUCUGAUGUGCUCUCACUGCAUCUCAACUUAGAAACUAGUUCUCAAGCUCAGAAUUGUAGGAACUUACCCAGAACUGUUCCAUGGCUUCGUGACACAGUUUCUCCUUUCACCACUAACUGAAUCUGAACUGUUGUCUCCUUGACAGAGUUAAAGAUGGUUACACUUAUCGCUUCCUCAACACCAGAGCGGAAAACAGAAGGUGCUGCAAUCAAAUAGCCCCUGAGAAGCAAAAUUGGAAGCAGACAGUCAAGAACAGCAACAAGAGUGUGAUUCUUAUUUAGUUAACUUGUCACAAAGAAGAGGAGACUCUCAGUGAUGAUAUUCAGCACUUUCUGGAUGUCAGACUCACAUCAACCUACCACAUCUAAACUUCCAGUUUCUACAGAAGGAGCUCAGAAACUACAACUACAAGACUGGGCUCAAAUUCUAACAUGUUUUUGUUCAAACAAUUCUAUCUUCCAAGUUUAAAAGUGGGCAAAAAGGACUUAUUUUAGCUGGCACAUACAGAGUUUUAAAGCCACCCCAGACGACCUCCCAUCUGCACUACAGUCCUUGUGCUGCUGAAUGGAAUCUAUACCAUUCCUGAAUGGCACCAUGCCAUGGACUUGUCAACUCGAAGGAUUACAGACUCUGAGCUCUUUGAUGCACUGGGCUGUAAGCAACACAUUUAUAUUCUCUUCAUGACACACCUUUCUGCUUUUUCUUCAGCCCCAAAGGAUUUUUUACAUGAGGCAAUUCCUCAUAUGACUCUUGAAGCCCUAUUUCUCAGCCCAUGCCUUUUUACAGCUCCAUGAGACAGUUUGGUUUAGUUCAUGAUUCAUUGUCACUCUGGGAUGAAGAUGAUGAUGAUUUACAGCCCUUAAAUCACCUUUUAUCAAAUUCCAGCCCCCUGUUUCUCACUCAGCAGGCCUCAUUGCCAUGGAGAUCUCAUUACCCCCAAAGGAAGUUCAGAUCUCUGUGGCAUUUGAGUUUAAUUGCACUGGGUAUUUACAGAUUCAAAACCUUGUGGUUGCCAGGUUUGAAAAUUCAUCAGAACAAUAACAAAUAACAACUAAAAGUUACUACUUUGUCUGUAAAUUCUUGGUAAGAAAGAAGCUGCAGAGGGAGUACCAUCUGCAUCCAGGAUGAAAUGAUUAGAUUAAAACUGUCAGAGAAGCACAGCACUGCAGUGCCAUAUGUGAAGCACAUGUAUUCACAUUGUUCUAAACUGCUGUGGCUCUUUCUGAAGCAUCAACCCAUCGGCACAGAUACUGAAAUCACUUCAUGAGGAGCGUUUGGACAUUAAAUAUUUAACUUGGCAAUUUAACAGUUAACUUGACAGUGACUGGACAGAUCCUUGAAGCACAUUUCACUAACAGCUCUGCCAGAUCACACCAAAACUUGGUAGAAAGAGAUAUUUACUACUAAGCAAAUGAAAAUAGGCUGUGGGUGGCUCUUCAUUAAUGCAGCUAUUCAUGGUGUUGAUGGGCUAGAAUAAGCCAUAGAUAAAGGAAAGAAAGCAGCAAACCUUGAUCAACGUUAACCUAAACACUCCAGAAGGAGCUGAGGACUCAAUUCCUAAAAGCCAGAAAGCUUUCCCCGCAGGGAAAUGUGACUUUCCACACAAGAAUCCUUCACGUGCUCUUACGGAGCAACCAUCAUUACCUUCAACCAUCCCAAACCCAACAGCAGCCCCUGCGCAACACCCCGGAUUCCUUAAAGAAUUGUUUGCAGAAGAAAGCUUUGCAGCCGCUUGCUGGAGCAGCUAGAGGCAGGUAUUUCUCCGGAGACUUUCUUUUCUUCCCCCCUCUCCUUUCUCUGUGCUGUGCACUUUUGCACCGGCGAGCACAAACGUGCUGCUGGGCUCAGGAGCAGCCGCCGCUCGCCUCCCCGACCUCAGCUCCUCGACGUGACUUUUCGCAGGCUUUGUUAAGUAGCUGGGGCAACCACUCCCGGAGCCCCUCGCAGAGAGGAGGGAGGCUCAUCCCUUCCUCUCCUUCCCCCAUCACCCCUUCCAGGGAGCCCGCCGCAGGCUGCGCGACCUUCUCUGGGUACUUACUGCCUCUCCCGGGGCUGGGCUGCGCUCAGGCUGCAGAGGGUCAGGAGGACCCCCCAGACGCAGCCGGGCUCUUGGCGGGGCAUGGUGCUGCGGGGCCCCAGGCCACGGCACUCUCCGAGGCCAGGAGGAGCCUUUUGUUCGCGGCGAGCGCAGCCCGAGCCUCCCCCGCCGCCCCGCUCCCGGGCUCGGCUCCCCGGUGCCUCCGGCCCCCGCCCCCGCCGCGUCCCCGCCCCCGGGCCGCCCCCUCCUGGCCCCGGUGCCCGCUCGGCUGCGGCCCCGGCUCUUUGUCUGCGGCUCCCCGCCUGCUCCUGACGGCGUGCACCGGGGGAGGGGGCCGGGCCCCGCACCUCCGCCUCCCGGCGCCGGGGCUCGGCUUGGCGCUGCCCGCUCCCAGGUGCGCUGCGCGCCCGGCCCCCGCGGGCUCCCGGCUGCAGCCGCCGCUCCUCGCCGCAGCCCCGACAGCCGAGCCCGGCCGGCAUCUGCUCCUCAACUGCCGCGCUCAGCAGCACCGGGAGACCAUCUGCCCGAGCGCUCUGCCUUCCUCCUCGACGGUGCCACACGCAGACUCCGCAGCUGCGAGAGCUGAGGUGCCUUAAAGCUGCCGUCAAGCCGCACCAGGCCAGAGCAGCCCCUGCGCGCUGCUCCCAUCGAGCGAGCUUUUGCACUCCACUGAGCCCCACCAAAGAGCUGCUUUCCAACUGAAAAUCCAGUGCCAGGGCUGAUGCGACUCCAUCCUCCUCUAUUCCUAGGCCCUCUCUGUCCAUCUCCAUCCCUCGGGCCUGACCCGUGGUUACCGGGGUUUGAGACAGGAGGGGGAGCUCUCGACUGCAUCAGGCUGAAGAAGGUGAGUCGAGUUGACACAAAUGGAGGAAAAGCACACCCAAAGCAAAAGCAAGGAUGCAAGGUGACAGAAUCAAUGCCGUGUCUCACGGAGAGGGAUUAAAUGCCACAUCAAGGAAUGAUUUCUCCAUCCCUUGCCAGAGACAACAUGGGCAAGCCAGGAUCCCAGGUGUGUGCUUCAGCAGAGCUGCCCUUGCCCCAGCAAUAACUGAAAACCCUUAAUGUAGGUAGUUUGAACGGAUUCUUUCCUCCAAUCCUCCACACCUGGCUUAAUGUAAACUACCAGGAAAACUGGAAAAAAAUAUUGAAUGCUAUUCUUUUCUUUCUCUGUCAGCUCCAGUGUUUGAAUCUCAGUUUCAUUUCUUCUACCAAUCACUGAGCAGCAUUUCGUUCAGCAAAAACACAGAUUUGUAUCCAAAAGGCAGCUCGAUUGUUCACCAAAGGCCCUUUCCUCUGGCUUCCAACAGGAAAAACAGCAAAUCAAGUUGUUAAAGCUGCCAAAUGUGUCAAUUACUUUUCACUCUCUUAAAAUUAUUUCAGUCACCAGCCAUUUUAUCAGGAUCAGUACCAGCAAACAUUUGCUGCAAGUCAGUCUCACCCAGAGGAGUGAGGAAGUUUCCCUGACUGCUUCAGCAAAUGGACUUCAGAGGCUGAUUGGUCCACAGCCAGGAGAGCAACAAAACAGUGCCUCAGGUUUUAUCUUGUUUGAAACUUAUACUGAUUUUAGUAUGACUUCUCUUUAGAUAAAUCACUGACUCCAUAGCUUUUUGAUAAGUUCAGGUUAUCUUCACUAAUGGCUGUCACUGGUAGAUGUGACUGCAUUUCCCUACUUCAGUCUACCUUAAAGCAGCAGCAUCAUAUCAUUACUGUGCUGAGGCAUAACAAAAGGGAACAGGUUUUAUCAAAUGAAGGAAAAAAUCCCCAAAGAAACUAGGCUAUGGCUUUAAAAAGUCUGCCUCACCUGAAAAUUCUUUAUACCAGGUGACAUUCUCAAAUCAAAAGGAUGAUGUGUUUUGCAAGGCUCAUCCCAGCUCUUAGGAUUGGACACAACACUUAAAAGCCACAGCCACACAAGUUUGGAAGGUUGUAAAGAAAUCACCUACAUAAACCACUCAUCACAUCAACAACCCUUGACUAAUUUUUCUCUACAGAUCUUGUUUCCAGACUUGUCCUAAUUGUCAAGACCAGGGUGGAAAACUAAAGGAGUUUUAUUCAAUAGAAUGAUAACAGCAGAUUUCUGCUCUCACUACUGAACAAGAAGUUUUUACAGACUGUUCACCACCUUGGGAAAGGCCAUUUGGAUUUCUUUUCAAUGGGAUUUUUCUCACUAAAGCUCAUCUGUGGGAGGAGCUGCAGAAUGACUUGGAGCAGUUUCCAGCCUUUAAUAUGACGUAAGCUGAAUGAAUUUUGCUCACUGUUGUGCUAUUUAAGCAAAACUGCUCCUCUCUUGCUCACUUCACUGCUCAUGUAUCUUUACAAAACAACUCUACAGCACCGACCAGGAGACUCUUUCAUCUGCCCCAAAUCGAGGGCACAUGAAAGAAAAGCACAAAGUCAACCAGAGGCCCUCCCAACACAUCUUUUCUCUCCAUGUGUAAAGUAAAUCACCAUUCUGUGAUUCUGGGAUGUAUUUUGCUAGAUUAUGCUUAUUAGUUGGACAGGAAUGCUCUCCACAAACCCUGCGGUGCUAUUCUCUGGGAUGAUGUCAGGUCAGUUGACAUUAGGCUGUUUUUAUGUAGAAUUAAGCACAAUGGCCACCAUUCUGUCUUUUUGAGAGCUGUAUUUUUCCACAAAUGUUUCACUGGAACAUUAGUUUUCUUUUUCUCUGUACUAAAUGCAACGAUGGCACAGCUGAGAUCCAACAUUUGCUUUUGCCAGCUCUGUUAAGCCUGGGUUGCACUUCUGUUUACAAUAUUCUUAAUAAAAUAACUCUGGUUUAUAAUGCA